GCCACCUGUAAUGGGGGUGUAGAGAAGAUGGAACCAGACUCUUGUAGGUGCACUGGGGCACAAGAGGCAAGAGCCACAAGCUUCAACAAGGUGGUUCUGUCACUAAGAGAUGCUGCACACCAUCAUGACCAAGUUAAUUGUUUAGACCUGUCCAAGUGCCUGUGCACAGAUGCUUAAGUGCACAGUCGUCCCCUCAUAUAAAAGCAGAGCUGGAAAGAGCUUCCUCUGGUCCAUCUCUUUGGUUACAGAUUGUAUUUUCUAGGGCUCUGCUCAUUCUGGUUUCUCUGCUCUGGAAGUCUCACCAAAUGGUUCCUUUCUUGCUGAAGCACAGCACUCAAAUCUGGAUACGUUUUUAACUAGGAAA